rnacentral:rRNA from 1 species
GAUGAACGCGGCGGCGUGCUUAACACAUGCAAGUCGAACGAGAGAUACAGGAGGAAGUUUUCGGACGGAAUCCGGUAGAUCGAGUGGCGGACGGGUGAGUAACGCGUGGGGAACCUGCCUCAUACAGGGGGAUAACAGUUGGAAACGACUGUUAAUACCGCAUAAGACCACAGAGUCGCAUGACUCAGGGGUAAAAACUCCGGUGGUAUGAGAUGGACCCGCGUUCGAUUAGCCAGUUGGCGGGGUAACGGCCCACCAAAGCGACGAUCGAUAGCCGAUUUGAGAGAAUGACCGGCCACAUUGGGACUGAGACACGGCCCAAACUCCUACGGGAGGCAGCAGUGGGGAAUAUUGCACAAUGGGGGGAACCCUGAUGCAGCGACGCCGCGUGAGUGAAGAAGUAUUUCGGUAUGUAAAGCUCUAUCAGCAGGGAAGAAGAUGACGGUACCUGAGUAAGAAGCCCCGC